CCCGGAUAGCCGGUCCCCCGCUGUCCCCGCCGGCGGGCCGCCUCGCGUCCGCGCGCGGGGCGUGUCCCGCCGCGCGCCGGGACCGGGGUCCGGUGCGG
rnacentral:miRNA from 1 species